rnacentral:rRNA from 1 species
GAUGAACGCUGGCGGCAUGCCUAAUACAUGCAAGUCGAACGAGAGGAAGGAAAGCUUGCUUUCCUGAAUCUAGUGGCGAACGGGUGAGUAACACGUAGGUAACCUGCCCAUGUGCCCGGGAUAACUUCUGGAAACGGAUGCUAAAACCGGAUAGGUAGCAGACAAGCAUUUGACUGCUAUUAAAGUGGCCUUGGCCAUGAACAUGGAUGGACCUGCGGUGCAUUAGCUGGUUGGUGAGGUAACGGCCCACCAAGGCGACGAUGCAUAGUCGGCCUGAGCGGUCGGACGGGCACAUUGGGACUGCGACACGGCACAAAAUCCGACGGGAGGCACCAGUAGCGAAUUUUCGUCACAGGGGGGAACCCUUACCGAGCAAUGCCGCGUGAGUGAGGAAGGUCUUCGGAUAGUAAAGCUCUGUUGUAAGAGAAAAACGGCACUCAUAGGGAAUGAUAGGUGAGUGAUGGUAUCUUACCAGAAAGUCACGGCUAACUACGUGCCAGCCGCCGCCGUAA